CCUACGGGUGGCAGCAGUGAGGAAUAUUGGUCAAUGGGCGCAAGCCUGAACCAGCGAAGUAGCGUGAAGGAUGACUGCCCUACGGGUUGUAAACUUCUUUUGUAAAGGAGUAAAGUGAGGCACGUGUGCCUUUUUGUAUGUACUUUAUGACUAAGGAUCGGCUAACUCCGUGCCAGCAGCCGCGGUAAUACGGAGGAUACGGGCGGUAUCCGGAUUUAUGGGGGUUAAAGGGAGCGUAGAUGGGUUGUUAAGUCAGUUGUGAAAGUUUGCGGCUUAACCGUAAAAUUGCAAUUGAUACUGGCAGUCUUGAGUACAGUUGAGGUAGGCGGAAUUCGUGGUGUAGCGGUGAAAUGCUUAGAUAUCACGAAGAACUCCGAUUGCGAAGGCAGCUUACUAAACUGCCACUGACAUUGAUGCUCGAAAGUGUGGGUAUCAAACAGGAUUAGAUACCCGGGUAGUC
rnacentral:rRNA from 1 species